UACGAAGGUCCCAAGCGUUGUUCGGAAUCACUGGGCGUAAAGGGCGCGUAGGCGCCUUCUAAGUCGAACGUGAAAUCCCUGGGCUCAACCCAGGAACUGCGUCCGAUACUGGAAGGCUUGAAUCCGGGAGAGGGAUGCGGAAUCCUGGUGUAGCGGUGAAAUGCGUAGAUAUCAGGAGGAACACCGGUGGUGUAGACGGCUCACUGGACCGUAACUGACGCUGAGACACGAAAGCGUGGGUAGCAAACAGG
rnacentral:rRNA from 1 species